GACGAACGUUAGCGGUGUGGAUUAGGCAUGCAAGGCGCGCGCGGGAAAGUCCGGCAAGGACGAGUAAAGCGGCGAAAGGGUGAGUAACACGUAAUCAACCUACCCCUCAGAUCGGAAUAACCACUGGAAACGGCGGCUAAUGCUGGAUGACCCUGCGAUGAGGCAUCUCGAUGCAGGUAAACGGUGGCGCAAGCUGCUGCUGAGGGACGGGAUUGCGGGCUAUCAGCUAGUUGGUGAGGUAAUGGCUCACCAAGGCUAUGACGGCUAGCCGAUCUGAGAGGACGACCGGCCACACUGGGACUGAGACACUGCCCAGACUCCUACGGGAGGCUGCAGUCGAGAAUCUUCCGCAAUGGGCGAAAGCCUGA
rnacentral:rRNA from 1 species